GUGCUCACUUUGGUACACACGAACUGAAAUUGGAACCACACAGAGAAGAUUAGCAUGGCCCCCGCACAUGAAUGACACACACAUUCAUGAAGUGUUCCAUAUUAAA